rnacentral:rRNA from 1 species
UACAGAGGUCCCGAGCGUUGUUCGGAUUCAUUGGGCGUAAAGGGUGCGUAGGCGGCUUCCUAAGUUUGAUGUGAAAUCCUGGGGCUCAACCCUGGAACUGCAUUGAAUACUGGGAGGCUAGAGUACUGGAGAGGAAACUGGAAUUUACGGUGUAGCAGUGAAAAUGCGUAGAGAUCGUAAGGAAGACCAGUGGCGAAGGCGGCCAACUGGACGAGUACUGACGCUGAGACACGAAAGCGUGGGGAGCAAACAGG